rfam:Viridibacillus arenosi FSL R5-213 Contig009, whole genome shotgun sequence.
UUGAGAGGAAGAUAGCCUAAGUACGCCACGUCCUGUGGCAACGGCUAUCUGACCCACAUCCUGUGGG